UUUGACGCUGAUGUUGGUCAGAAUGGCUCCUCGUCUUCCUCUGAUCUUUCUGCUCAUGAUUCACGGGGUUUCUAGUGCUGGUUGGGGUGUGAGUUACAGUCCUUCACACAUCUGUGCACUAAAGAACUCAUCAGUGAUAAUGAGCUGCACUUAUACAUACCCUACUGGAUAUAAGAUUGAGAAAGUGUUCUGGACCAAAAACCCUAAAAAGGGUGAAGAGCCUCCAGAUCUGUCUGAGGAUCCUGAAUACAGUCAGAGGCUUCAGUAUCUGGGAGACAAACAGCAGAACUGCACCAUCAGACUGAGUCAUGUGACACAGAAGGACCAACACAUGUACUGUUUCAAAUUCAUCACUGAUAAACCUGAUGGAAAAUGGACUGGUCAUCCAGGAGUGACUCUUACUGUCACAGAUCUUCAGGUGGAGGCUCCUGAGAGAGUGACAGAGGGUCAUAAUGUCCGUCUGACAUGUAAAAGCAGCUGCACUCUGACUGACAGAGCAUCAUUCAUCUGGUACAGAAACUCACAGCCAUUAACUGAGAGAAGAGACAGAAACAAUCAACUCCUGCUGCAGUCAGUCAGAAGAGAGGAUGCAGGCAGAUACAGCUGUGCUCUACAUGGACACACUUACAUCUCUCCUGCUGCUGGUCUCAAUGUCACCUAUGCACCAAAGAGCGUCUCAAUGUCCAUCAGUCCAUCUGUAAUAGUGGAGGGAGAUUCAGUGACUCUGAUCUGCAGCAGUGAUUCAAACCCUCCUGCAGAAAUCAGCUGGUUUAAAGGAAGAACAUCUGUUGGAUCUGGAAGAAUCUACAGCAUCUCAAAGAUCAGCUCUGAUCACAGUGAAGAAUACAAGUGUAGAUCUAUCAAUGAACAUGGAGAGAAAUACUCUGAUGCUGUGACUUUAAAUGUCAUGUACCCCCCCAGGAGCGUCUCAGUGUCCAUCAGUCCAUCUGUAAUAGUGGAGGGAGAUUCAGUGACUCUGAUCUGCAGCAGUGAUUCAAACCCUCCUGCAGAAAUCAGCUGGUUUAAAGGAGGAACAUCUGUAGGAUCUGGAAGAAUCUACAGCAUCUCAAAGAUCAGCUCUGAUCACAGUGAAGAAUACAAGUGCAGAUCCAUCAAUGAACAUGGAGGGAAAUACUCUGAUGCUGUGACUUUAAAUGUCAUGCCAGUCAGAUGUUUCUCGUCAGUAGCUCUAGCUGUUUCUGUUGCUGUUUCUGCUGCUGUCUGUGUUUUACUCGGUGGAGCAUCCGGUGCUUUCAUGAUGUACAUUUGUCUUACUAAAAGGAUGAACAGAAGAUCUGCUAUGAAGGAGUCUGCGAUCUCUGAUCCCGACACAUAUACAGCUCUUGAGCUCAAGACCACGACCUCUGACCUCUACGACACACUCACAGUAAGUGAGACGUCAAAGUCAGAUCAUCAUCACAGAUGAUCACAUGACCACCUCUCUCUCUCUCUUCCUCACAGACCAUUCGUCCCAGAUCUCCUGAAGACUCUUGAUCCUAAACAUGAGAAUCCAUCAAUCAACAGGAAGAUGCUGCAGUGAGAGGCGGAGCACAGAGGAACCAAUCCUAAGCUCUGUGGGCGGGGCCACAUAUGAUUGACAGGUGUCAUUAGUGAAGAGUUGGUGAAGCCUUUUAUUUAUUUAUAGUUUAGGAAAGAUGAAGUAACAGUAAAAUUAAAUGUUAUUGUAUAGAAAUAUAAAUAUGAAGUAAGCUCACUGUUUUAACAUUUUAAAAAUAUAUUUGCCUUAAUAUUUAAAUUUCACACCUUCACAAUUGACAAUGUAUUUUUUUUUUGACUCAAUAUGAUCAGCUUCAGUUUUCUGUCCGUUGUGUUUCUGUAACGUUCUCUUUAAUUGAUCAGAUUUAUUUGUGAUUGUCUCAUAUGUUUCCCUCAAACUACCAGCAGAGGUCACAUCUCUGCUCCUGACAUCAACACUGAUGC